AAGAAGAGGGUUCUGAGGAGAGAAUAAGACCUUCAUUAGAAAUUGUAUAAGAUUUUAGCCACACAGUGUCGUAAUACAAGAAGUCUUGCUUGAGAAUGCUUUGGGCACCUGGCUAUGGAAGGUAGAAUAGAAAUUACAACAACAAAAUUCUAACUCUAAUAAAAUACUAACUAAAUUCUAAUUAGACCAUAAUAAUGCUAAACAAGCUUUGAUCAAAUUCAAAGAAAUAAUAAGAAAUAUUAAAGAAAUAAUAGAAUGAUCACAAAUAUAUCUCAAAUACAUCUCAAUUCAAUCUUAAUUUAAUCCUAGUUAAAAUCCUAUUGGACUUCAUUCAAAUUUUAGGCCAAAACUAAUUAAAUCUUAAAUCCUAAAUAAAUCCUAAUAAAAUCCUAAAUCCUAAACCAAAUCCUAAUAAAAUCCUAAACCCUAAAUCAAAUCCUAAAUCCUAAACCAAAUCCUAUCCAAUCUCUAAAUAAAUCCUAAACCAAAUUCUAAAUCCUAAACCAAACCCUAAACCAAAUCCUAAAUCCUAAACCAAACCUUAACCAAAUCCUAAACUAAACUCUAACCAAUCCCUAAAUAAACCCUAAAUCAAAUCCUAACAAAACCUUAAACCCUAAACCAAAUCCUAAUCAAAUCCUAAAUCAAAUCCUAACCAAAUCCUAAAUCAAAUCCUAACCAAAUCCUAAAUCAAAUCCUAACCAUAUCCUAAAUAAAAUCCUAACCAAAUCCUUAAUCAAAUCUUAAAUCCUAAAUAAAACCCUAAAUAAACUCUAAACUCUAAACCAAAUCCUAACCAAAUUCUAAACCCUAAAUCAAACCCUAAAUGAAAUCCUAAAUCAAAUCCCAACCAAAUCCUAAAUCAAAUCCUAAAACCUAAAUCAAACCCUAACCAAAUCCUAAUCCUAAAUCAAAUCCUAACCAAAUUCUAAAUCCUAAACCAAAUCCUAACCAAAUUCUAAAUCCUAAACCAAAUCCUAACCAAAUCAUAGUAAUUUCCACAACAAAUUUAAACUUCAAUAACUAAUGAAUGAACCAUUGAUCUUAACUCAAAUUUUUCACACUUCUUAAAAACUAAGUUGAAAAUAAGCAUAAAAUUUUUGAAAAGGAUUGAAAAUAUUAAAUAGACGAUAACCUCAAAAAUAUGCUCGGAUAUUGGUUGCCCUCCUUCUUCAACCUUAAUGCCAAUCUUCUAGAACAAAUAUUUCUUCUUUUUAUCAUUUGAUUGAUCUCAAAAUUCUCAUACACAUAGGAAAAAACAAGUCUAAUAUCCUCUCACAUAAAUUUUACUCCAAUCCAACUAGUAGAUUGCAAGAAAUCUUAAAAAUCCUUACUAAACCUAAGUUUCUACUUUUUGAGACCUUCACUCACUUAAACCUCAAUAAUCCUCAAUUCAAUCGUUAGAUCGAGCUCAAAUUCACAACAUAUAUUGAAUACAACUAUAACCAUUAACCCACAAAAUUUCACCUAUAGAACUAUUACAAAACUCUUGAAAUCAUCCAAAACGUAAAUCCUAUUUUAUUUCACAAAAUCAAAGUCAUCCAAAACAAACCUUGACUUUGCAAAGCUUCUACAAAGUCAAUACAGAUCCAAAUCACUCAAAACUAAUGCUCAUAAAAAUCUUAUCCAAUCUUCUAUCAAACACCACUCUCCGAUCUGCUAAAGAAUCCCGGAGUCAUUGUCGAGACUUGGUUUUGUGCCUCAAGGUCUGAUUUCGAUCUUGGUUCAUAAUUGGCCCUCUCUGGGUAUCAACAUCUAG
rnacentral:lncRNA from 1 species